rnacentral:ncRNA from 2 species
CUUCGUGUGAGGAGUGCAAAGCGUCUCUUCUGGGUCGAAACAAGGACAGACUCCAGCAACGCGUCUCAC